rnacentral:rRNA from 14 species
CGGUAAUACGGAGGGUGCAAGCGUUAAUCGGAAUUACUGGGCGUAAAGCGCGCGUAGGUGGUUUGUUAAGUGAGAUGUGAAAGCCCAGGGCUCAACCUUGGAACUGCAUCUCAUACUGGCAGGCUAGAGUAUGGUAGAGGGAGGUAGAAUUCCACGUGUAGCGGUGAAAUGCGUAGAGAUGUGGAGGAAUACCAGUGGCGAAGGCGGCCUCCUGGACUGAUACUGACACUGAGGUGCGAAAGC